UGAACGCUGGCGGCAGGCCUAAUACAUGCAAGUCGAACGGCUCUUCGGAGCAGUGGCGGACGGGUGAGUAACGCGUGGGAAUGUGCCCUUUGGUACGGAACAACACAGGGAAACUUGUGCUAAUACCGUAUGUGCCCUUCGGGGGAAAGAUUUAUCGCCAUUGGAGCAGCCCGCGUUGGAUUAGGUAGUUGGUGAGGUAAAGGCUCACCAAGCCUACGAUCCAUAGCUGGUCUGAGAGGAUGAUCAGCCACACUGGGACUGAGACACGGCCCAGACUCCUACGGGAGGCAGCAGUAGGGAAUCUUGCGCAAUGGGCGAAAGCCUGACGCAGCCAUGCCGCGUGAAUGAUGAAGGUCUUAGGAUUGUAAAAUUCUUUCACCGGGGAAGAUAAUGACGGUACCCGGAGAAGAAGCCCCGGCUAACUUCGUGCCAGCCGCCGCCGUAA
rnacentral:rRNA from 1 species